UACGGAAGGGGCAAGCGUUGUUCGGAAUCAUUGGGCGUAAAGGGCGCGUAGGCGGUCAGCACAAGUCAGUUGUGAAAUCUCCGGGCUUAACCCGGAAAGGUCAACUGAUACUGUGCGACUAGAGUGCGGAAGGGGCAACUGGAAUUCUCGGUGUAGCGGUGAAAUGCGUAGAUAUCGAGAGGAACACCUGCGGCGAAGGCGGGUUGCUGGGCUGACACUGACGCUGAGGAGCGAAAGCAUGGGGAGCGAACAGG
rnacentral:rRNA from 1 species